UUUUUUUUUUAAAAUUAAAAUUUAAUUUAAAAAUGAAAAAGUUUUUAUAAAAAAAUGGGACAAGAAGACCCUAUGAAUCUUUAUUAUUCUAUAAUAAAUUUUAUUAUAAAAUAAUUUAAUUGGGGCGAUUAAAAAAGAAUAAAUAUCUUUAUUUUGAAUUUAUUUUUUAAAUUGAUGAAAAGAUACUCUAGGGAUAACAGCGUUAUUAUUUUGGAUAGUUCAUAUUGAUAAAAUAGUUUGCGACCUCGAUGUUGAAUUAAUGAACCUAUUUAAAUGAAGUUAUUAAAUUAGGUAGAUUGUUCCUCUA
rnacentral:rRNA from 1 species